rnacentral:rRNA from 1 species
UACAGAGGUCUCGAGCGUUAGGCGGAAUCACUGGGCUUAAAGCGUGUGUAGGUGGAUCGUUAAGUACCUUGUGAAAUCCCACGGCUUAACCGUGGAACUGCUUGGUAUACUGGCGGUCUUGAGCCACUUAGGGGCUACCGGAACAAAUGGUGGAGCGGUGAAAUGCGUAGAUAUCAUUUGGAACGCCAAUGGUGAAAACAGGUAGCUGGGAGUGUGCUGACACUGAGACGCGAAAGCCAGGGGAGCAAACGGG